rnacentral:rRNA from 1 species
GAACCUGCCUCAUACAGGGGGAUAGCAGCUGGAAACGGCUGAUAAAACCGCAUAAGCGCACAGCAUCGCAUGAUGCAGUGUGAAAAACUCCGGUGGUAUGAGAUGGACCCGCGUCUGAUUAGCUGUUGGUGAGGUAACGGCCCACCAAGGCGACGAUCAGUAGCCGGCCUGAGAGGGUGACCGGCCACAUUGGGACUGAGACACGGCCCAA